CCUACGAGAGGCAGCAGUGAGGAAUAUUGGUCACUGGGCGGGAGCCUGAACCAGCCAAGUCGCGUGAGGGAAGACGGUCCUAUGGAUUGUACACCUCUUUAGGCGGGGAGCAAUGCCGGGCACGCGUGCCCGGAGGGAGAGUACCCGCAGAAUAAGCAUAGGCUAACUCCGUGCCAGCAGCCGCGGUAAUACGGAGGAUGCGAGCGUUAUCCGGAUUCAGUGGGUUUAAAGGGUGCGUAGGCGGAUUUUUAAGUCAGCGGUAAAAUGUCCGGGCUCAACCCGGGCCGGCCGUUGAAACUGGGGAUCUUGAGUGUGCGAGAAGUAUGCGGAAUGCGUGGUGUAGCGGUGAAAUGCAUAGAUAUCACGCAGAACUCCGAUUGCGAAGGCAGCAUACCGGCGCCCGACUGACGCUGAGGCACGAAAGCGUGGGGAUCGAACAGGAUUAGAUACCCUGGUAGUC
rnacentral:rRNA from 1 species